rnacentral:rRNA from 1 species
UACAGAGGGGGCAAGCGUUGUUCGGAAUUACUGGGCGUAAAGGGCGCGUAGGCGGCCUUCUAAGUCGAACGUGAAAUCCCCGGGCUCAACCCGGGAACUGCGUCCGAUACUGGAAGGCUUGAAUCCGGGAGAGGGAUGCGGAAUUCCAGGUGUAGCGGUGAAAUGCGUAGAUAUCUGGAGGAACACCGGUGGCGAAGGCGGCGUUCUGGACUGUUUCUGACACUGUAAAACGAAAGCCAGGGGAGCAAACGGG